rnacentral:misc_RNA from 1 species
UUUCCGUAGGUGAACCUGCGGAAGGAUCAUUAUUGUAUAACCGAGGUGCGAGGGCUGUCGCUGACCCGAAAGGUCGUGCACGCCCGAGUGCCCUCACACACAUCCAUCUCACCCCUAUGUGCACCACCGCGUGGAUCCCCCUUUGGCUUGUUCGGAGGGGGGCUUACGUUUUCACACAAACUUUGUAUGCAGUGUAGAAUGUAUUUUUUGUUUUUGCGAUCACGCAAUCAAUACAACUUUCAACAACGGAUCUCUUGGCUCUC